GCUGUUAGUCCUUGAAUGUGCAGUUUCAUUUGAAACCGAGCAAAACAUGAAGAACAGUUCUGUCAGAGCCGGGGUACUGUUGUGAAUAGACUAAACGAGUCUGGAUAAAUAAAAUAAGUGCAGGGAUUCCAUUAUUGUUUUCGAGGGAACCAGUAUAAGCUACACAGAUGUUAGACCUUGAGACAGUCCCUCGAAUGGCUAAAAUGCCUAUGGAUUUCGCAACGUAUCUACUAUCUUCCAGCCCACCUGCAAGUAAUCUUGAGCUUCUAAGCUUAGCUUUUGAUCCUGAAGCUGCGCGACACUGGGCGCAGGCAAACAAUGAACAAAAUAAUGAAUGCCAAUUUAAUGGUUGUGAUCCAAAUGGAAAUUUCGUGAGUCGCAGAAAAGCAAUCAAGCCGAUUAUAAUUAAGAAAGAUGAAACGGCAAGCGACUGUGAUAUGUCAGAAGCUUCAAGUGACUCGGGGCGGGUAACUCCUACAAGCCCCUGUUCACCACGAGUCAGUAAAAAAGUUUCUUUUGCAGAUCACAAAGGCUUUGCAUUAGCAACAGUUCGAAUAAUGACGGAACCUUCGGACCAUCCCCCAAGGUUAACAGAAGAUGUAAUGAAAAGCAUAACGAAAGAUGAGAAGGCAGUUGUUUCGGGAUUACCUCCAUAUAAACUAAAAUUUACACAACCUGCCUCCGACUAUAUGGCAUUCCGUGAUGCUAUUGAGAAAAACUGUGUUUCUCUUGAAAAUGUCAUUUUACGAGACUAUACUGUGCUCGGAACAAUAAAAGUAAAAAAUAUUUGUUUUGAUAAACACAUUUUUGUGAGAUGCACAUUUGAUUCCUGGAAAUCUAGUCAAAACAUUGAGGCGAAGUUUGUUCAGCCAUUCGGUGGUAACUUGGUGCAUAACUUUGACACUUUCUCAUUUGAAUUUGAAAUAGAUUCACAUUGUGAUACAAAGAAUAAGGUGCAGUUUGCCGUCUGCUUCGAGACUCCAUCUGGUCAGUAUUGGGACAAUAAUUCAGGGGCAAACUAUGAAAUAGUUCCUACAGACUUCAGUUCUGCAGAAGAGCACACCACAGAAUUGUUGCCAACAACAACGCUGACAUCAAAGACGAAAGCUGGUUCUUGGUCCGAAUAUAGUUGCUGGCGCCAUGUCGAUACUUCAUCACCCUACUAUUGAGUUGCCAUUGAAAUCACUUGCCUGCUUCAAGGCAGCAAAUGUCCUUGGACACCUUAAAAUCAAAUGGUUGUGUUUCAACAAACCAGCCAGUAUCCACAGCAACCAAAGGUCAUUGAACUUGUCAAGUAGAAGUUCAGCAGAUAUAGUAAUAAAAUUCUGUGUUGUGAAAAUUGGUUUGCUGCAGACAAGAUAAAGUGACAUGAUGUCAUACAUCAAUAACAUCUAUAGUGACAUGAUGCCAUACAUCAAUAACAUCUAUAGUGACAUGAUGCCAUACAUCAGUAACAUGUAAAGUGCUUUUUCUCAUUUUAAAGCUGCAGAUAUUGCAAGAAAACAAAGCAUUACAGUACUUAGUGUCAGCUGUAACCAUGGUUACAGUAGGAGAAAAAAAACAAGCAAGAACAUAGUGCCAUAUCAUGAAAUAGCUUAUCAAAAAAUGUAAAGUGAACAAAUAAGACGGUAUGGUGGUGAUUUUAAGCAUAAUGGACUCACCGUACUUUGGCUUCAGACUGCUGGCCAAGCAAGUAGAUAGAUCUGAGAAAAAUGACACUUGAAGAUGUUAAAAGUAAAAGGACCUACACAUUAGACUGGAGCAAAUAUGUCAGAAGUCAUGAUUGAAGACCACAUUAAAGAGUCAGAAUUGUAAAAGGCUUCUCUUUAUAAUACAUGUUAAGAACUGCAUUGUCAAGCAUUGAAAGAAGACUGGUCUAAAAGAAGGUCCACUUUGUGGAAUGGUAUAAGAGUAGCUGAACGAGUACAUGAAUUGAAGUCAAAAAAAAAGAGACAUGAAUUCAGUGGAAUUAUGAAAGCAACUUUAUUUCCAGUGAAAUAAUUACGAGCGAAACAGCCGGGCUCCAAGCUGUUGCAUUGUGGGUUAUUAUUGAAUAGAAUUUCUCAUCUCAGAGUUCAUGCUUUCUCCAGUAGGAUAAAAAUUACUGAUGUGUCACGCAGGAUCGAUACUACAUCACCAACGUGAUCGUCAUAAGGCAAUUUUCAUGUACGCAUUAUUUCUGCGUAGCUUUAAGAGAAUCAAUAAAGCGAGACAAACAACACUUGUAUGGUUUCCACAAUUUUAGGUAGUUCAGUGCUACUGCUGAUAAGGGAAAAAAGAAAGACAAGG
rnacentral:misc_RNA from 1 species